rnacentral:rRNA from 1 species
UACGAAGGGGGCUAGCGUUGCUCGGAAUCACUGGGCGUAAAGGGCGCGUAGGCGGCCAUUCAAGUCGGGGGUGAAAGCCUGUGGCUCAACCACAGAAUUGCCUUCGAUACUGUUUGGCUUGAGUAUGGUAGAGGUUGGUGGAACUGCGAGUGUAGAGGUGAAAUUCGUAGAUAUUCGCAAGAACACCGGUGGCGAAGGCGGCCAAACUGGACCAUUACUGACGCUGAGGCACGAAAGCGUGGGGAGCAAACAGG